GACGAACGCUGGCGGCGUGCCUAAUACAUGCAAGUAGAACGCUGAAGCGAGGAGCUUGCUCUUCUUGGAUGAGUUGCGAACGGGUGAGUAACGCGUAGGUAACCUGCCUGGUAGCGGGGGAUAACUAUUGGAAACGAUAGCUAAUACCGCAUAAAAUGGAUUAUCGCAUGAUAAUCCAUUGAAAGGUGCAAAUGCAUCACUACCAGAUGGACCUGCGUUGUAUUAGCUAGUUGGUGGGGUAACGGCUCACCAAGGCGACGAUACAUAGCCGACCUGAGAGGGUGAUCGGCCACACUGGGACUGAGACACGGCCCAGACUCCUACGGGAGGCAGCAGUAGGGAAUCUUCGGCAAUGGACGGAAGUCUGACCGAGCAACGCCGCGUGAGUGAAGAAGGGUUUCGGAUCGUAAAGCUCUGUUGUAAGAGAAGAACGAGUGUGAGAGUGGAAAGUUCACACUGUGACGGUAUCUUACUAGAAAGGGACGGCUAACUACGUG
rnacentral:rRNA from 1 species